rnacentral:rRNA from 1 species
AGUGAACGCUGGCGGUAGGCCUAAUACAUGCAAGUCGAACGGCAGCACAGUAAGAGCUUGCUCUUACGGGUGGCGAGUGGCGGACGGGUGAGGAAUACAUCGGAAUCUACUUUUUCGUGGGGGAUAACGUAGGGAAACUUACGCUAAUACCGCAUACGACCUACGGGUGAAAGCAGGGGAUCUUCGGACCUUGCGCGAUUGAAUGAGCCGAUGUCGGAUUAGCUAGUUGGCGGGGUAAAGGCCCACCAAGGCGACGAUCCGUAGCUGGUCUGAGAGGAUGAUCAGCCACACUGGAACUGAGACACGGUCCAGACUCCUACGGGAGGCAGCAGUGGGGAAUAUUGGACAAUGGGCGAAAGCCUGAUCCAGCCAUACCGCGUGGGUGAAGAAGGCCUUCGGGUUGUAAAGCCCUUUUGUUGGGAAAGAAAAGCAGCAGGUUAAUACCCCGCUGUUCUGACGGUACCCAAAGAAUAAGCACCGGCUAACUUCGUG